UACGUAGGGUGCGAGCGUUGUCCGGAAUUAUUGGGCGUAAAGAGCUUGUAGGCGGUUUGUCGCGUCUGCUGUGAAAAUCCGGGGCUCAACCCCGGACUUGCAGUGGGUACGGGCAGACUGGAGUGUGGUAGGGGAGACUGGAAUUCCUGGUGUAGCGGUGAAAUGCGCAGAUAUCAGGAAGAACACCCGUGGCGAAAGCGGCUCUCUGGAACGGUACUGACGCUGAGACGCGAAAGCGUGGGGAGCGAACAGG
rnacentral:rRNA from 1 species